rnacentral:rRNA from 1 species
UGGGGAAUUUUGGACAAUGGGCGCAAGCCUGAUCCAGCCAUGCCGCGUGCAGGAUGAAGGCCUUCGGGUUGUAAACUGCUUUUGUACGGAACGAAAAGACUCCUUCUAAUAAAGGGGGUCCAUGACGGUACCGUAAGAAUAAGCACCGGCUAACUACGUGC